rnacentral:rRNA from 1 species
ACGGCGAGUGAAGCGGCAAAAGCUCAAAUUUGAAAUCUGGUACCUUCGGUGCCCGAGUUGUAAUUUGGAGAGGGCAACUUUGGGGCCGUUCCUUGUCUAUGUUCCUUGGAACAGGACGUCAUAGAGGGUGAGAAUCCCGUGUGGCGAGGAGUGCGGUUCUUUGUAAAGUGCCCUCGAAGAGUCGAGUUGUUUGGGAAUGCAGCUCUAAGUGGGUGGUAAAUUCCAUCUAAAGCUAAAUAUUGGCGAGAGACCGAUAGCGAACAAGUACAGUGAUGGAAAGAUGAAAAGAACUUUGAAAAGAGAGUGAAAAAGUACGUGAAAUUGUUGAAAGGGAAGGGCAUUUGAUCAGACAUGGUGUUUUGUGCCCUCUGCUCCUUGUGGGUAGGGGAAUCUCGCAUUUCACUGGGCCAGCAUCAGUUUUGGUGGCAGGAUAAAUCCAUAGGAAUGUAGCUUGCCUCGGUAAGUAUUAUAGCCUGUUGGGAAUACUGCCAGCUGGGACUGAGGACUGCGACGUAAGUCAAGGAUGCUGGCAUAAUGGUUAUAUGCCGCCC